rnacentral:SRP_RNA from 1 species
GCCAGGUGCGGUGGCGCGCGCCUGUAAUCCAAGUUACCGGGAGGCUGAGGUGGAGGAUCGUUUGAGCUCAGGAGCUCUGAGCUGCAGCGGACUAUGCGAUCGGGUGUCCGCGCUAAGUUCGGUAUCGAUAUGGUGCUCCUGGGGGAGCCCGGGACCACCAGGUCGUCUAAGGAGGUGUGCACCGGCCCAGGUCGGAGACGGAGCAGGUCAAGCCCCCGUGCCGCUCAGUAGUGGGAUCGCGCCUGUGAAUAGACGCUGUAGUGCAGCCUGAGUAAUACAGCGAGGACCCAGUCUUU